rnacentral:lncRNA from 1 species
AAAACUGUCAGUGGCUGCAAAUCAAUGUGGAAAUGACAAAGAGAGCCAUGGAGGGAAACCCCCUAGAAAGACUGAACUGGACCCUAAAGGAUCAGAGAGAGGAAGAAGCUGGAAGUAAUGCAAAGAGUCCCAAAGUGAGAAGAUUCCAGUUUUAAGUCCUGGUUCUGAUCCACAUCUGCCUUAGGCCUUGGAUAAUCCCUUAAGUGCUAAAGCAGGAAGAAGUUAACCAAAGAAAAGUGGAACCAAGAACGUGGGCAGAGGCCAACUAAUGCCCUUUUGAAUGCCUCUACAGCCAAAGAGCCUCCUAGUGAUUAUAUGAUUAUUCAACAUGAACCAGUUAAAGAAUGUCUACACAUGUUCCAAAGCCUUUCCAACAUACUUCCACUAUGUGUCUUUCAGAAGUUGGCUUCCCAAACAAACCCUUCUCUGUGGGUAAUCAGAUGCAGUCUGAGCAGCCUCUUUGGACCUCCAUUUCCUCAUCUAUAAAGAGAGAAGAUUGGGCCAGAUGAUAUCUAAUGACCGUUCCAGCUCUAAAUCCUUGAUCUUGAUGAAGUGGGAAGAGCAUCAGCCUCUGGAAUCAGACUAUCUGAGUUCAUACCCCACUUCUGACACUACCUGUGCGACUUCGUGUGACCUUCCUCUGUCCCAGUUUACAUAUGCAUAAAAUAAGGGAUUAAAAUUCAUGGCCUUCUAAGACCCUUUGAAUGCCACC